rnacentral:rRNA from 1 species
AUUGAACGCUGGCGGCAGGCCUAACACAUGCAAGUCGAACGAGUGGCGGACGGGUGAGUAAUGUCUGGGAAACUGCCUGAUGGAGGGGGAAAACUACUGGAAACGGUAGCUAAUACCGCAUACCAUCGGAUGUGCCCAGAUGGGAUUAGCUAGUAGGUGGGGUAAAGGCUCACCUUGGCGACGAUCCCUAGCUGUUCUGAGGGGAUGACCAGCCACACUGGAACUGAGACACGGUCCAGACUCCUACGGGAGGCAGCAGUGGGGAAUAUUGCACAAUGGGGGCAAGCCUGAUGAACCCAUGCCGCGUGUAGGAAGAGGGCCUUCGGGUUGUAAAGUACUUUCAGCGGGGAGGCGUUACCCGCAUAAGAAGCACCGGCUAACUCCGUGCCAGCAGCCGCGGUAAUUC